rfam:Ciona savignyi cont_5281, whole genome shotgun sequence.
AAAACGGCUCUUUUUAGAUCCACCCAAAUUAAAUAAAUCGAAAAG